UUGAGAAGACCAAUGUACGUACCAGCCUC
rnacentral:sRNA from 1 species